rnacentral:rRNA from 1 species
AUACGGAGGCUGCAAACGUUAAUCGGAAUUACUGGGCGUAAAGCGCGCGUAGGUGGUUUAGUAAGUCGGAUGUGAAAGCCCUGGGCUCAACCUGGGAAUUGCAUUCGAUACUGCUUGACUAGAGUAUGGUAGAGGGAAGUGGAAUUUCCGGUGUAGCGGUGAAAUGCGUAGAUAUCGGAAGGAACACCAGUGGCGAAGGCGACUUUCUGGGCCAAUACUGACGCUGAGGUGCGAAAGCGUGGGGAGCAAACAGGAUUAGAAACCCUGGUAGUCC